GAAACGAUCUCAGUACCCUUAGGAAAAGAAAUAAUUGAGAUUCCCUCAGUAGCGGCGAGCGAACGGGGAUCAGCCCAUUAAGUUAUGUGUGUUUUAGUGGAACGCUCUGGGAAGUGCGAACGUAGAGGGUGAUAUUCCCGUACACGAAAGGGCACACAUAAUGAUGACGAGUAGGGCGAGGCACGUGAAACCUUGUCUGAAUAUGGGGGGACCAUCCUCCAAGGCUAAAUACUCCUGACUGACCGAUAGUGAACCAGUACCGUGAGGGAAAGGCGAAAAGAACCCCUGUGAGGGGAGUGAAAUAGAUCCUGAAACCGCAUGCAUACAAGCAGUGGGAGCACCUUCGUGGUGUGACUGCGUACCUUUUGUAUAAUGGGUCAGCGACUUAUAUUCAGUAGCGAGGUUAACCGUAUAGGGGAGCCGUAGAGAAAUCGAGUCUUAAUAGGGCGUUUAGUUGCUGGGUAUAGACCCGAAACCAGGCGAUCUAUCCAUGAGCAGGUUGAAGGUUGGGUAACACUAACUGGAGGACCGAACCCACUGUCGUUGAAAAGCCAGGGGAUGACUUGUGGAUAGGGGUGAAAGGCUAAUCAAGCCUGGUGAUAGCUGGUUCUCCCCGAAAGCUAUUUAGGUAGCGCCUCGGACGAAUACCAUAGGGGGUAGAGCACUGUUUCGGCUAGGGGGUCAUCCCGACUUACCAAACCGAUGCAAACUCCGAAUACCUAUGAGUACUAUCCGGGAGACAGACUGCGGGUGCUAACGU
rnacentral:rRNA from 1 species